AGGGCUAUUAAACAUUCAGGAGUGUGUUUCCUUUCCUCUUGUUUGUCACAGAGAACUUCAAGGGGUCUCGAGGUCCCCUUCAUGCAGACCAUGAUGUAGAAACUACACCAGUAAAAUUCCCAAUUCCCAACAAGACAAAAAGCAGCAAGAAAAUCUCCAACAGUAGCUCUUCAGCUCCAGUGGCAGCUGUCAUUGCAGGUCAUAGCAGGGUCUGGUGGGAGAUAAUAUCCAAGAGCUCAAGCAAGUCUCAGGAGUACUGAUAUCACAGUUCUGCUGAUUUUGUUACUGAUUUGCUGCUUGACCUUAGAUAUGAAGUCCUCUGUUGAAGACUGUUACUGUUAAGGAAGAUAACUUUGGAGAGGGCACUGAGUAUCACACCUGAAACCUCUUUCUCAGGACCCAGCAGGCAUCCAAGCUGUUAGGUUAUAUGAGCAAAGAUACCAAUACAAAAUCAAGUUUCUGGG
rnacentral:lncRNA from 1 species